rnacentral:rRNA from 2 species
AGAGUUUGAUCAUGGCUCAGAUUGAACGCUGGCGGCAGGCCUAACACAUGCAAGUCGAACGGUAGCACAGAGAGCUUGCUCUCGGGUGACGAGUGGCGGACGGGUGAGUAAUGUCUGGGAAACUGCCUGAUGGAGGGGGAUAACUACUGGAAACGGUAGCUAAUACCGCAUAACGUCGCAAGACCAAAGAGGGGGACCUUCGGGCCUCUUGCCAUCAGAUGUGCCCAGAUGGGAUUAGCUAGUAGGUGGGGUAAUGGCUCACCUAGGCGACGAUCCCUAGCUGGUCUGAGAGGAUGACCAGCCACACUGGAACUGAGACACGGUCCAGACUCCUACGGGAGGCAGCAGUGGGGAAUAUUGCACAAUGGGCGCAAGCCUGAUGCAGCCAUGCCGCGUGUAUGAAGAAGGCCUUCGGGUUGUAAAGUACUUUCAGCGGGGAGGAAGGUGUUGUGGUUAAUAACCACAGCAAUUGACGUUACCCGCAGAAGAAGCACCGGCUAACUCCGUGCCAGCAGCCGCGGUAAUACGGAGGGUGCAAGCGUUAAUCGGAAUUACUGGGCGUAAAGCGCACGCAGGCGGUCUGUCAAGUCGGAUGUGAAAUCCCCGGGCUCAACCUGGGAACUGCAUUCGAAACUGGCAGGCUAGAGUCUUGUAGAGGGGGGUAGAAUUCCAGGUGUAGCGGUGAAAUGCGUAGAGAUCUGGAGGAAUACCGGUGGCGAAGGCGGCCCCCUGGACAAAGACUGACGCUCAGGUGCGAAAGCGUGGGGAGCAAACAGGAUUAGAUACCCUGGUAGUCCACGCCGUAAACGAUGUCGACUUGGAGGUUGUGCCCUUGAGGCGUGGCUUCCGGAGCUAACGCGUUAAGUCGACCGCCUGGGGAGUACGGCCGCAAGGUUAAAACUCAAAUGAAUUGACGGGGGCCCGCACAAGCGGUGGAGCAUGUGGUUUAAUUCGAUGCAACGCGAAGAACCUUACCUACUCUUGACAUCCAGAGAACUUUCCAGAGAUGGAUUGGUGCCUUCGGGAACUCUGAGACAGGUGCUGCAUGGCUGUCGUCAGCUCGUGUUGUGAAAUGUUGGGUUAAGUCCCGCAACGAGCGCAACCCUUAUCCUUUGUUGCCAGCGGUCCGGCCGGGAACUCAAAGGAGACUGCCAGUGAUAAACUGGAGGAAGGUGGGGAUGACGUCAAGUCAUCAUGGCCCUUACGAGUAGGGCUACACACGUGCUACAAUGGCGCAUACAAAGAGAAGCGACCUCGCGAGAGCAAGCGGACCUCAUAAAGUGCGUCGUAGUCCGGAUUGGAGUCUGCAACUCGACUCCAUGAAGUCGGAAUCGCUAGUAAUCGUAGAUCAGAAUGCUACGGUGAAUACGUUCCCGGGCCUUGUACACACCGCCCGUCACACCAUGGGAGUGGGUUGCAAAAGAAGUAGGUAGCUUAACCUUCGGGAGGGCGCUUACCACUUUGUGAUUCAUGACUGGGGUGAAGUCGUAACAAGGUAACCGUAGGGGAACCUGCGGUUGGAUCACCU